rnacentral:rRNA from 1 species
CCUACGGGGUGCAGCAGUGGGGAAUAUUGGACAAUGGGCGAAAGCCUGAUCCAGCCAUGCCGCGUGUGUGAAGGAGGCCUUCGGGUUGUAAAGCACUUUCAGUGGGGAAGAAAGCCUUGGGGCUAAUACCCUCGAGGAAGGACAUCACCCACAGAAGAAGCACCGGCUAACUCCGUGCCAGCAGCCGCGGUAAUACGGAGGGUGCGAGCGUUAAUCGGAAUUACUGGGCGUAAAGCGCGCGUAGGCGGUCUGAUAAGCCGGUUGUGAAAGCCCCGGGCUCAACCUGGGAACGGCAUCCGGAACUGUCAGGCUAGAGUGCAGGAGAGGAAGGUAGAAUUCCCGGUGUAGCGGUGAAAUGCGUAGAGAUCGGGAGGAAUACCAGUGGCGAAGGCGGCCUUCUGGACUGACACUGACGCUGAGGUGCGAAAGCGUGGGUAGCAAACAGGAUUAGAUACCCGGGUAGUC